rnacentral:rRNA from 1 species
GACGAACGCUGGCGGCGUGCCUAAUACAUGCAAGUAGGACGCAGUUGCGAACGGGUGAGUAACGCGUAGGUAACUACCUAUUAGAGGGGGAUAACUAUUGGAAACGAUAGCUAAUACCGCAUACUAGUAGAUGGACCUGCGUUGUAUUAGCUAGUAGGUAGGGUAAUGGGCUACCUAGGCAACGAUACAUAGCCGACCUGAGAGGGUGGUCGGCCAAAAUGGGAAUUAGACACGGCCCAGAAUCCUACGGGAGGCCGCAAUAGGGAAACUUCGGCAAUGGGGGGAACCCUGACCGAGCAACGCCGCGGUAGUGAAGAAGGUUUUCGGAUCGUAAAACUCUGUUGUUAAGGAAGCGGUACUUAACCAGAAAGGGCCGGCUAACUACGUGCCAGCAGCCGCGGUAAUUC